rnacentral:rRNA from 1 species
AUCGGAAGAGAGCAACAGGGAUUACCUCAGUAACGGCGAGUGAAGCGGUAACAGCUCAAAUUUGAAAUCUGGCCUCACGGUCCGAGUUGUAAUUUGUAGAGGAUGCUUCGAGCAUGGUCUGGCCUAAGUUCCUUGGAACAGGACGUCAUAGAGGGUGAGAAUCCCGUAUGCGGCCAGGUGCCUACGCUCAUGUGAAGCUCCUUCGACGAGUCGAGUUGUUUGGGAAUGCAGCUCAAAAUGGGUGGUAAAUUUCAUCUAAAGCUAAAUAUUGGCCAGAGACCGAUAGCGCACAAGUAGAGUGAUCGAAAGAUGAAAAGCACUUUGGAAAGAGAGUUAAACAGUACGUGAAAUUGUUGAAAGGGAAGCGCUUGCAACCAGACUUGCGCGCGGCCGAUCAUCCGGUGUUCUCACCGGUGCACUCGGCCGUGCUCAGGCCAGCAUCGGUUUUGGCGGCUGGAUAAAGGCCCUAGGAAUGUGGCUCCUCUCGGGGAGUGUUAUAGCCUAGGGUGCAAUGCAGCCUGCUGGGACCGAGGACCGCGCUUCGGCUAGGAUGCUGGCGUAAUGGUUGUAAGCGGCCCGUCUUGAAACACGGACCAAGGAGUCUAACAUCUAUGCGAGUGUUUGGGUGUCAAACCCAUACGCGUAAUGAAAGUGAACGGAGGUGAGAACCCUUAAGGGUGCAUCAUCGACCGAUCCUGAUGUCUUCGGAAGGAUUUGAGUAAGAGCAUAGCUGUUGGGACCCGAAAGAUGGUGAACUAUGCCUGAAUAGGGUGAAGCCAGAGGAAACUCUGGUGGAGGCUCGCAGCGGUUCUGACGUGCAAAUCGAUCGUCAAAUUUGGGUAUAGGGGCGAAAGACUAAUCGAACCAUCAGAUUGCCG